UGUAGAGCCUCCUCACUUGGAGAGGAUUGGAUUGGGUGUUGACCCUGGCUAUAGUGUAUCCUCACGUGGAGAGGAUAGAUCUAGCUCACAGUCUGCGUUUAGGGUGGCAUAGCCAUCCAAUCCCCACAUGGAGGGGAUUGUCGUCGAGUACUCCGGAGUGUCGUGCGACUAGGACCAUUUGGAGGUCCGGACCACAUGGAGGUCCGUAGACGGUCCCGGGCUUGGGUGCACUUGGAGCUCCCUCC
rnacentral:lncRNA from 1 species